rnacentral:rRNA from 1 species
AUUGAACGCUGGCGGCAGGCCUAACACAUGCAAGUCGAGCGGAUGAAGGGAGCUUGCUCCUGGAUUCAGCGGCGGACGGGUGAGUAAUGCCUAGGAAUCUGCCUGGUAGUGGGGGAUAACGUCCGGAAACGGGCGCUAAUACCGCAUACGUCCUGAGGGAGAAAGUGGGGGAUCUUCGGACCUCACGCUAUCAGAUGAGCCUAGGUCGGAUUAGCUAGUUGGUUGGGUAAAGGCCUACCAAGGCGACGAUCCGUAACUGGUCUGAGAGGAUGAUCAGUCACACUGGAACUGAGACACGGUCCAGACUCCUACGGGAGGCAGCAGUGGGGAAUAUUGGACAAUGGGCGAAAGCCUGAUCCAGCCGUGCCGCGUGUGUGAAGAAGGUCUUCGGAUUGUAAAGCACUUUAAGUUGGGAGGAAGGGCAGUAAGUUAAUACCUUGCUGUUUUGACGUUACCAACAGAAUAAGCACCGGCUAACUUCGUG